rnacentral:rRNA from 1 species
GUGAGGAAUAUUGGACAAUGGGCGCAAGCCUGAUCCAGCCAUUCCGCGUGCAGGAAGACGCAUCUAUGGUGUGUAAACUGCUUUUGUACGGGAAGAAACACUACCUCGUGAGGGAGCUUGACGGUACCGUAAGAAUAAUGAUCGGCUAACUCAGUGCCAGCAGCCGCGGUAAUACGGAGGAUCCAAGCGUUAUCCGGAAUCAUUGGGUUUAAAGGGUCCGUAGGCGGUUUAAUAAGUCAGUGGUGAAAGCCCAUCGCUCAACGAUGGAACGGCCAUUGAUACUGUUAGACUUGAAUUACAAGGAAGAAACUAGAAUAUGUAGUGUAGCGGUGAAAUGCUUAGAUAUUACAUGGAAUACCAAUUGCGAAGGCAGGUUACUACUUGUGGAUUGACGCUGAUGGACGAAAGCGUGGGGAGCGAACAGGAUUAGAUACCCUGGUAGUCC